GACGAACGCUGGCGGCGUGCCUAACACAUGCAAGUCGAACGGGAGCAAGUGCUUCGGUAUUUGCUUUAGUGGCGAACGGGUGAGUAACGCGUGAAUAACCUGCCUUUCAGUGGGGGACAACAGUCGGAAACGACUGCUAAUACCGCAUGAGACCACAGGACCGCAUGGUCAAGGGGUCAAAGAUUUGAUCGGUGAUAGUUGGGCUCGCGUCUGAUUAGCUGGUUGGUGAGGUAACGGCCCACCAAGGCGACGAUCAGUAGCCGACCUGAGAGGGUGAUCGGCCACAUUGGAACUGAGAAACGGUCCAA
rnacentral:rRNA from 1 species